rnacentral:rRNA from 1 species
UACGAAGGAUGCAAGCGUUACUCGGAAUUACUGGGCGUAAAGCGUGCGUAGGUGGUUCGUUAAGUCUGAUGUGAAAGCCCUGGGCUCAACCUGGGAAUGGCAUUGGAAACUGGCGACCUAGAGUGCGGUAGAGGGUAGUGGAAUUCCCGGUGUAGCAGUGAAAUGCGUAGAGAUCGGGAGGAACAUCUGUGGCGAAGGCGACUGCCUGGACCAGCACUGACACUGAGGCACGAAAGCGUGGGGAGCAAACAGG